rnacentral:rRNA from 1 species
GACGAACGCUGGCGGCGUGCUUAACACAUGCAAGUCAUGGGGGCCCGCAAGGGCAACCGGCGAACGGGUGCGGAACACGUACGCAACUUACCCAAAACUGAGGAAUAGCCCGGGGAAACCCGGAUUAAUACCUCGUAACAUAAUGGAGUGGCAUCACUUUAUUAUUAUAGCUACGGCGGUUUUGAUGGGCGUGCGCCUGAUUAGGUAGUUGGCGGGGUAACGGCUCACCAAGGCUACGAUGUCUAGGGGGCUGAGAGGAUGAUCCCCCACACUGGUACUGAGACACGGACCAGACUCCUACGGGAGGCAGCAGUAAGGAAUAUUGGACAAUGGCCGCAAGGCUGAUCCAGCCAUGCCGCGUGCAGGAUGAAGGUGCUCUGC